UCGGCAAACUCUAUGCGGUGAAACGUCAUGUAAACCAGCGUUCCGAUAGCUAUCGGGAGAGGGCUGCACGCUCGAGUUGGAGGGUAGACGGUUAGAACACUUGGGCAACCAUUUGUCUAGAUAAAUGAUAAGGGUAUACAGAAUCCGGCUUAUGG
rnacentral:ribozyme from 1 species